GAUGAACGCUGGCGGCGUGCCUAAUACAUGCAAGCCGAGCGAACGGACGAGAAGCUUGCUUUUCUGAUGUUAGCGGCGGACGGGUGAGUAACACGUGGAUAACCUACCUAUAAGACUGGGAUAACUUCGGGAAACCGGAGCUAAUACCGGAUAAUAUUUUGAACCGCAUGGUUCAAAAGUGAAAGACGGUCUUGCUGUCACUUAUAGAUGGAUCCGCGCUGCAUUAGCUAGUUGGUAAGGUAACGGCUUACCAAGGCAACGAUGCAUAGCCGACCUGAGAGGGUGAUCGGCCACACUGGGACUGAGACACGGUCCAGACUCCUACGGGAGGCAGCAGUAGGGAAUCUUCCGCAAUGGGCGAAAGCCUGACGGAGCAACGCCGCGUGAGUGAUGAAGGUCUUCGGAUCGUAAAACCCUGUUAUUAGGGAAGAACAUAUGUGUAAGUAACUGUGCACAUCUUGACGGUACCUAAUCAGAAAGCCACGGCUAACUACGUG
rnacentral:rRNA from 1 species